GACGAACGCUGGCGGCGUGCCUAAUACAUGCAAGUCGAGCGAAUGGAUUGAGAGCUUGCUCUUAUGAAGUUAGCGGCGGACGGGUGAGUAACACGUGGGUAACCUGCCCAUAAGACUGGGAUAACUCCGGGAAACCGGGGCUGAUACCGGAUAACAUUUUGAACCGCAUGGUUCGAAAUUGAAAGGCGGCUUCGGCUGUCACUUAUGGAUGGACCCGCGUCGCAUUAGCUAGUUGGUGAGGUAACGGCUCACCAAGGCAACGAUGCGUAGCCGACCUGAGAUGGUGAGCGGCCACACUGGGACUGAGACACGGCCCAGACUCCUACGGGAGGCAGCAGUAGGGAAUCUUCCGCAAUGGACGAAAGUCUGACGGAGCAACGCCGCGUGAGUGAUGAAGGCUUUCGGGUCGUAAAACUCUGUUGUUAGGGAAGAACAAGUGCUAGUUGAAUAAGCUGGCACCUUGACGGUACCUAACCAGAAAGCCACGGCUAACUACGUGCCAGCCGCCGCAGUAA
rnacentral:rRNA from 1 species